ensembl:lncRNA
ACAAUUACAGGCCAAAUGAGGGAUUGUACCUGAGAGAAAAACUGCUGUUGGAACUUGAAAAGAAAAUAGAUACAAAUUCUUCAGUUAGUUUCUAUUCUGACUGCAAGGAAGAGGAUCCAUGUAUUUCUCAUCAAGCCCAAAAGACUACCUAGGUCAUCCAGACACGUACCCACCCUGGGGCAGGUCAGAGGAGCGCUCCUUGGCUACCCAGGAAGAGGCAGGAAUAGAACCACUGGAGACGGGGGAAACAAAGUGUAUGCCACGAAGAUACUGCCGGUGAGAAACAGAAAGUGACAAUUUUCAAAGUCAUUUUAGACCAGACCCAUUUGCUUGUAUGGAUGUGUGUGUGUUUACAACAGCCAUGCUCCCCCCGGCAAAGUAAAAUACACUGGAAAUGGGGGAGUAUGGCGUAGGGUGGGGUGAAGAAGAACGUGGCAAUGUUUUCAGUUCCUGAAUAACAGUCCCCGACUCGCCAGUGAGACACUGGACCACAGGCAGGAUGAAUGUUUGGGUCUGGACAACUGACUCCGUUGGUUGAUUUUUGCUACCUUGGCCCAAACAAGCAUGUCCACUAUCUUUCUUCUUGCUCCUGAAUCUCAGCGUGAUCAAGUAUCAAGAGACAAGCAAGCAGCCAAAUGGAGCAAAGAGAAGAGCGAUCAUUGCAAAGAAUUCCUGUGGGGUUCACUGGGGUUUUCAGAAAGUAAGGGAUGCUCAUGGUUGUGAGUGGACGUCCGACUUACCUGCUGUAGGUGAAGGUGGUUCUUCCUACAGAACGCUCUCUCCAGAAAGACAUCCCCUCUCUGGGACGUGAGGUGGAGUAGAAGGACUAACCAUCUAAAAUUGUCAGCUAUGUCAUUUCUUUUCAGCAUUAACUCAUUUCAGCCUGAAAAUCUUGACAAUGCAAAUUUGUUCUCCAGCGGGGGAGAGAGAAUGGGAGAAAGAAACAAUAUUCCUGCCUUUAAUCUGGUGAGAAUAAUCAGGAAGGAUGGGUGAGAGGCACCACGCGUUCUGUGCUGUGCUUUUGAAAAGAGAACAAAACACCAUGUCCAGAGAUAAAUUGUCAUCGUCUGAAGCUCCAGUUUUCUUACAAAUUCUUAAGGAAAUGUUGCCCCCUUCUGGACAAAAGGUACAAUAGACAGCCGCCACAGCCUUGCCAUCCAACCUGUUUAUAAAUUCAUCUACCUGCGUUAGUCAGGAAGGGUUUUGCUCUGGUGUCUUUUCUGUCACUAUGCCUAGACAACACUAAUUCACUUUUAAAAAGUCACUAUACCAGCACGAAUCAUAUGCAUAAGAGAUCAGAAAGCCCAUUUUACCAAUUAGACAGAUUCUUCAAAACAGGAAUAAUCAAUCACGCUGACGAAGUUUACCAGAUUUUUUCAAUCUCACUCACAGCCUCCUUACCUUCUAUAGGACUUGAGGAGAGGUGGAUAGAGUCUCAAUCAAGUUUUCAUUUAUCUCUCACUGUUUAUUUUAUUAUUUAGUUUUAAAAUUAAUACUCUCUUUCAAAAAUGGGUUGAAAUUAGGCGUUUGGAAUUAACAUAGACACACUAACUAUAUAUAUAACAGAUAGCCAACAAAGACCUACUGUGUAGCACAGAGAACUGUGUUCGGUAUUUUAUAGUAACCUAUAAGAGAAAAAAAUCUGAAAAAGAAUAGACAUAUAUAUGUGUGGAUAACUGAAUCACUUUGCUUCACUCCUGAAAUUAAUAUGACAUUGUAAAGCAACUAUGCUUCAAUUUAACAAGACAGAAAGAAAUGGGUUCGGGUUUGCUUAGCUAAAUAACCUUGAAUUUGAUUUUUUCAAUAGAUUUUAGUAUUUUAAAGUCAUAUACUUGGAGCAUUAGAAAAAUGAAAUGCCAAAGCUGAUAUCCUGACCCGAGUUAUAAGAUGCCCAUGCUUUACCUUCAUAGCACGGCCCUCCCGGUAGUCACUGUUCACCAGCAAACGUGUUGUCAAUACACAAGGCAAAUGAAUGCACAUGUGUUUCUAUUUGACCACCUAUGUAUUUGCUCCUCUAAAGAAAAAUCAUAAUCGAAGAAGGAACCGGCAGCCUGCCCAGGACACGCCACCACCCCAAAAGCAGAAAGUCAUCUUUCUGCUGUUGAAGUCUCUAAUGUGAAGAAGCCUGCAAGCCCAGAAAGCUUAUUUCUCAGCUGAGUGACCACAGCAGAAAGGACCCACAUUCUUGUCUAAGCCCUGUAACUGCAGGCUUCUAUGGUAAGGCCAAUAUCUGCCUUCGUGCAGAACUGCCAGAGGGGUUAGGGAAACGAGAUACCAUUUCUCUGAGAAACUCUGCUCAUUUCUGUGAGCCCAUGACUGAUGGUGAUUGACAACCCUGCACACCUGCAAUCAAGGAUGCCCCGUAUUUAUCCCAGGGCAACACCUGCGAGGAGACCGGCUCUCACUCCCUGAGCGCGUCCCGCAGAAGGCUGGCAGAGUGUCUCCUGGUCCUCUCUUCCCUAAAGCUCCGGGAAGGCGGCCAGGAGCCCGGUCACCUCACCCCUGUGCGGCAGUCCUGUGCAAGCAUGUCUCUUCUGUGCUCACCUUCUGGCCGGAGGCAACAGCAGGGUCCUCUUCGUGAAGGAGACACCCAGGGGCUGAGUAUCAGGGAACAAAUGCAUUCAUCAUGGCAGGGCCCGUGUGCCAAGGCGCAAUAAAGACCAUGCUCGCCGCGGCGGGGAGCGUGGGGACCUCGCCGCAGACCACACGCGCCGGAGUCGCUCUCUGAAGUCUCAUUACUAAGUGAUACCCAGGUGUGUGAUCUGAGGACUGUGUGUGAUGGUACAGGGAAGAGUCAGAUCUUCUGAGAAUGGGGCCCUAUCUCCUUUUCCUGCCAGAUCUUGAGCCAGCUUCACAGGCUGCUGAUCUCUUUCUCAGCUAUCCCAGAACCAGAGCUCCUUCCUGCCCAAAUUGGAUUUACCUAAAAUUUCAUGGGCCUCAGACCCCAGGUCUCCGCCGAGGUCUCCAUCCAGUCUGCAGGCCUGAUGGCCCACCCUAGCCUCUGCAGCUGAGUCAUUGGACCCUUCCUGGGGAAACUCCCAAAGCAGGCCCACUGGAGCUCCAUCCAGUGUCCAUCCCAUGUGGAAACUCGGAGAUCAGGAAGCAAACUUCAGGCCUCCCUUGGUCUGACUGUACCCACUUUUGUGAUGCUGCAGAUGUAUCCUGGCUGGGUCAGGGCUAACUGAGAGGAGAUUCCCUUCCCAGAGCCCUGAACCAGGAGUCAGGACAAGGACCUGUUUCUGCCUUUUACCCGUGCUUAUAAAACACAUCUCUCCAUCCCAGGGCCCUGAUCCACGGACAUCAGGACAAAGUGGUCAGAGUCUUAAUUGCCUCCUUUUAUCUCCCUUAAGUUUCCUUCCCACCAUCAUCCAGGGCUGGAGAAAAUUGUCUUCCUUCUACUUUCCCUGCAGCAUCCUCCUUUUGCUUACAAGUUUCAGUCUUGGGAUGGCCAGACCCCUUGAUAUAUGGGAGGGAAAGAGUCAAGUUACCUAGAAAGCUGAGAACAAUAAGCUAUUUACUCUCCUGCUCUGUAAUCUAUUUCUUUAUGUCAGAAGCUGGAAAUUCAUUUGCUCUUUCCAUUGUAUACCUUCUUUACUUUAUCUUUUAAUUAACAUAUAAUUGACAUGUAAUAUAUUAGUUUCAGAUGUACAACAUAGUGAUUCAAUGUUACAAAAUGAUUACAGGAAGUUAACAUCAUCACAUGUAGUUAGAAAUUUUUAUUCUUGCUGUGAGAACUUUGGGAGUCUACAGUCUUAGCAACUUUCAGACACACAAUAUGGUGCAUUUAAUUGUAGUCACCAUGCUGUAUAUGAUAUCUCCAUAACUUAUUUCUUUUAUAACUGGAAGUUUGCACCUACAGAUUUCCCCAAACCCAUAUAACCUACUUAUAGUCAACGGCCAAUCUGCUCUAUAUAUUUGACUUCAUGGUUUUUUGUGUUUUUUUUUAAUUCUGAUUUUUUUUUCUUUUUUAGAUUCAUAUAUAGGUGAGAUCAUAUGGUAUUGUCUUUCUCUGAUCUAUUUCACUUAGCAUAAUACCCUCACAGUCCAUCCAUGUUGAUACAAAUGGCAGGAUUAUCUUCUUUUUGUGGCUGAAUGCCAUUCAUUGUACAUAUACACCACAUUGUCUUUAUCCACGCCUCUGUUGAUGGGCAGAUUAUUUCUAUGUUGUGGUUAUUGUGAAUAAGGCUGCUAUGAGCAUGAGAAUGCAAGACAGUGAUUUUGUUUCCUUCAGAUAAAUGCCCAGAAGUGGAAUUGCUAGAUCACAUGCUAUUAAGAGUUCAAUUUUUCAAUUUUUUUGAGGAAACUUCAUAUUGUUUUUCAUAGUGGCUUCACCAAUUUACAUUCCCAACAAGCAUGCGCAAGGGUUCCCUUUUUUCCACAUCUUAGCCAACACUUAUUUCUUGUCUUUUUGAAUAAGAACCGUUCUAACAGGUAUGAAGUGUAUCUCAGUAUGGUUUUGACUUGCACUUCCCUGUUGGUUAGUGAUUUUGAGCACCUUUUGUUACAACCGUUGGUCAUUUAUAUGCCUUUGGGGAAAUGUCUGUUCAGAUCCACUGCUCAUUUUUUCCCCUAAGUGAUGUAAGUUUUAAAAAGUAUUUUGAUAUUAACAUUUUGUCAGAUAUGAUUUGUAAAUGUUUUCCCAUUCCAUGGGUUGAGUUUUUUCCCUUUUUGGAGAGUUUCCUUUGCUGUACAGAAGUUUUCUAGUUUGAUGGAGUCCCACUUGUUUAUUUUGCUUCUGCUACCUUUUCUUUUCAUGUCAAAUCCAAAAUACCAUACAAGACAAUACAAUGUCAAGUUCACCCCCAUGUUUUCUUCUGGGAGUUUUAUGGUUUCAGGUCUAACAUUCAAGUCUUCAUCCAUUUUGAGUUGAUUUUUGUGUAUGGUGUAAGAUAGUGGUCCAGAUUCAUUCUUUUGCAUGUAGCUGUCCAGUUUUCCCAGUACAGUUUACUAAAAAGACUAUCUUCUGUAUAUUCUUUGUAUAUUCCCCAUUGUAUAUUUGUAUAUUCCCCAUUUUUUACAUUUUAUAUUCCCCGUUGUAUACUCU